rnacentral:rRNA from 1 species
GGGAAUCUUGCACAAUGGGGGCAACCCUGAUGCAGCGACGCCGCGUGAGCGAUGAAGCCCUUCGGGGCGUAAAGCUCUUUCGACCGGAACGAUAAUGACGGUACCGGGAGAAGAAGCUGCGGCUAACUACGUGCCAGCAGCCGCGGUAAUACGUAGGCAGCAAGCGUUGUUCGGAGUUACUGGGCGUAACGAGUGCGUAGGCGGUUUUCUAAGUUCGGUGUGAAAUCUCCCGGCUUAACUGGGAGGGUGCGCCGAAGACUGGGAAGCUGGAGUGUGGGAAAGGCAGGCGGAAUUCCUGGUGUAGCGGUGAAAUGCGUAGAUAUCGGGAGGAACACCGGCGGUGUAGACGGCUUGCUAGACCAUAACUGACGCUGAGGCACGAAAGCGUGGGUAGCAAACA